GACCGAAACCACGUCGGCAGCCCCAUCUUUCUUGGCAAGUGGUGGACGCAAGUGUAGACUCAGGUCCACAGCGGUGGGGACUGGGAGCCUGCAGGAUAGCCCGGAGUGGUCUCCGGCCAGGCCUGGGGACCCCGGGGUCGCUGAAACUCGAGCGGCCUAAAAAUGCUCUUGAGGAUACCGCUGAGUGACUAUGGGAAACCACGCUGGAAAGAGAGAGCUAAUGAUUGAAAAGGCCAGUAAGGAUGGUGAGAUUCACCAAGGAGAGGCUGAAAAAAAGAGAAGCGUGGGCAAACUUUCUCAGACAGCCUCGGAAGACAGCGAUGUGUUUGGUAUGUAGCGGACAGAGGGUAUGACCCCCUUUCCUGCUUGGACUGUGAGCCCACGCCUUCUCACUGGGGAAUUCUUGUCCUUGUCUUUGGGUUUUUGUUAUUGCUGUUGUGGUUUUGUUUUGUUUUGUUUUUGUUACCAUAUGAGAAUACAAGCUUGCACAUGACACAGUGCACGUGUGGAAGUCAGAGGACAACCUCACCCCCCACUUUUUGUGAAACAGGUUAUCUUGUUCACCACUGCAUACCCCAAGAUAACUGGUCUUUGAGCUUCCAAUGGCUGGCUCCACCCAUACCCUUCUCUUGACACUGGAAUUACAGAUGUGCACUAUUGUGUGUGGUUUUACAUGGAUUCCAGGGAUCCACACUGAGGUCCUCACGUUUAUGCAGCAAGUCAUUUACCCACUGGACUAUGUCCCCAUGCUCUGUCUUCAUUUUUAAAUAUCUGUGCAAUGGUGUGGUAAACAGGCCUCCUUACUGCCCUCCUGCAGACUCUCUCCCACUUUGUGUUCAUGUUUGCUCUCUGUAGCCCUAAGGCUCCUCUCAGUCUCCCUCUCUGCCAGAUGGUGGGGACAUCAGCAAGCCAGCCCCACAGUGUCAUAACAAUGCUGACAAGGAAGUAAGCUUGCCAAAGUUUGUGCACUGCUUUCCUUGGGCUGGCUGCAGACGGUGACUCAGCUGUUGUUGGGAGUAAGUGUGGUCUUCGAAAUGUUACCUUCCUAGUGCCUCAAGAAUACACACUGCCCUGUGCAUGGGUUUUCUGUUUCUUCCUACUUAUCAGAGUGGACAAACAUCCUCACCUGAGUCUUGUGGAAUUGUGGUAGAGUUACCUUUUCCAUGACUUCCCUCCGAUGUGGGCUCCCACAACUGACCAGAAUCUGAGGGACACUGCUGUCUUCUUUCUUCCACUUAGGGAGACAGGAGAAGGGAAGCGUGGUAGAGAACAAGCCCAAGUGGUAAGAGCCCACUGUCCUGAGAGGAAACAGCAGCCAGGCCCUGCCACUGCAGGUCAUAGCCUAAGUUUCAGUCACUCAAAGCCUGCAACCCUUGGCCACUCCCUGAUCGGGCCUCUGCUUGCUUAUGCAAAGGUCUUUCUCCAUCCUUCUCCCCUAGGCAGUGCCAUCUACCCUGGUGUUUCUCAGGGUAUUAUUCUUUUUUACUAACUUAGUUUCUUCAAAAUUCCUUCCUUCUGUGCUUUGUCCUUCUUGAGCAAGCACCUGUGGUUGAAAAGUCUGGGAAUAGUGGUACCCUAAAAUUGAAAACCAUGACUGUGAGCUGAAAGUAUGGUAGAUCCAGGGCAGUGGGGGAGGGGCUCUUCCAGUUCCUCUAACUAUGUCCAUUUUCACUGGAAUUUUCUUGGGGCAUUUCUGUCUUUAGGAAGUGGGGUAUUCUUUUUUUUAGUUGCCCCUGGGGCCUGAGCCUGGGGGAAGAGUAGAAGACAGCAUUGUGACAGCAAAGUACAAAAUUUAAAAUACCCAGGGCAAGGCACAGUACAGAACUCAAUGUCUGCCUGUGUGGUGUUUAGGGGGGAAAGCAAGUCUUUGGCCAUGGUUUUUUUACUUGUGAUUCCCAAGUACAGACAUAUAACUAAUGCACAUCUGUACACACAGAAGCAUAUUAGAGGUGCCAAAGAAAAUGCAAAAUAUGUGUGUCUGGGUUUACAUUUUCUUUAAGGAAGUGUUGUCUUUAGAUUCAGUUGGGUUGUAUUGUUGUUCUAGGGAUGGAUUUCAGGAGCUGAGUACAUGCUAGGCAAGUGCCUUACCACUGAACUACGGUCCUAGUCCUAUUUAAUUGCUUUUUAGCUUAUUUAUAAUCAUAGUAACUUGUACCUACCAUUAUGUGUGUGAAUGGUGUGUAUACACACAGAGAAAAUGGAUGUAACACAUGAACUAUAGCACAUAAAAGGCUCUCUGAGUUCCCUCUGUGAAUUGUGUAAAUGCCCUUACUCCUGAAGCUGUGAGGUGGCCCAGGAGACAGCUUCCUGACUGGAAGGUGGAAGCCAAUGGCAAUACAGAAGUUACAGGUCUCUCCAUAAUAAAUGCAGUUGCUCCCGGGACCCGGGACAGGAAUGCAUUCAUGCCUAUGGCAUGAAGGCACUUCCCAGCUCUUGCACUGCAGCCUGCAGUAGGAUCCGAGUCACCCUCAAGCAUGCACAGCUCAUUCUGGUCCUGGCUGAGUCAGAGCCCAGGGGCAUGUGAGGAAGCUGCCACCUGCAGAUGUUCCAGGCUCACACAACACUGAGUCAGGCCAGCUGGGAGGGCUUGCAUACUCUGGGUUGGGUACUCGGCAAGCCUGUGUGAGCUGCAGAGCCCCUGCCCUUGAACUUGAUAACCUUGCCCUUCUCUGGCAUCUACGGAAGUCCCAGGCUAUAGAUGAAAAAUGACAAAUGGAAAAGGAAAGCUCAAAUGACCUUGGCUUGGUUGGUUGUUUGUUUGGGGCUUCUGUUUUUGUUGU